AGCUGGUGAAACGACUGAGCUCGUUUCUCGACCCCAUCGGCAGCACCGCUCGACGUUUGAGGCACUAAAAAACAAGCAGAAGAUACGAUCCAAGAUUCAGCUUGUUUUGAGGCUUCCACCCCUCUGUCACUCCCUACAUCAUCACUGAUUGAAGAAAUCAGGUAGUAUUCCAAAGAUUACACCCACAAUGAAGGGAGUUCAUUCACCAAGCAAGGCCUCACAGCAGGUUCUUGCUAAGGAGGACAACCCAAGAUGG